rnacentral:rRNA from 1 species
CGUGGGUAACCUGCCCAAGAGAUCGGGAUAACACCUGGAAACAGAUGCUAAUACCGGAUAAUAACAGAUGAUGCCUAUCAACUGUUUAAAAGAUGGUUCUGCUAUCACUCUUGGAUGGACCUGCGGUGCAUUAGCUAGUUGGUAGGGUAACGGCCUACCAAGGCGAUGAUGCAUAGCCGAGUUGAGAGACUGAUCGGCCACAUUGGGACUGAGACACGGCCCAAACUCCUACGGGAGGCAGCAGCC